GACGAACGCUGGCGGCGUGCUUAACACAUGCAAGUCGAACGGUAAGGCCCUUCGGGGUACACGAGUGGCGAACGGGUGAGUAACACGUGGGUGAUCUGCCCUGCACUUCGGGAUAAGCCUGGGAAAUUGGGUCUAAUACCGGAUAGGACUCCGGACUGCAUGGUCUGGGGUGGAAAGCUUUUGCGGUGUGGGAUGGGCCCGCGGCCUGUCCGCCGGUUGGUGGAGUGAUGGCCUACCAAGGCGACGACGGGUAGCCGUCCUGCGAGUGUGACCGGCCACACUGGGAAUGAGUUACGGCCCAGACUCCUACGGGAGGCAGCAGUGGGGAAUAUUGCACAAUGGGCGCAAGCCUGAUGCAGCGACGCCGCGUGAGAGAUGACGGCCUUCGGGUUGUAAACCUCUUUCAGCAUCGACGAAGCGAAAGUGACGGUAGGUGCAGAAGAAGGACCGGCCAACUACGUGCCAGCCGCCGCAGUAA
rnacentral:rRNA from 1 species